UACGUAGGUGGCUAGCGUUGUCCGGAUUUACUGGGCGUAAAGCGCGCGCAGGCGGUCGUUCAAGUCGAGUGUGAAAGCCCCCGGCUCAACUGGGGAGGGUCACUCGAUACUGAUCGACUUGAAGGCAGAAGAGGGAAGCGGAAUUCCCGGUGUAGUGGUGAAAUGCGUAGAUAUUCGGAAGAACACCAGUGGCGAAGGCGACACACUGGCUCACUACUGACGCUGAGGCGCGAAAGCGUGGGGAGCAAACAGG
rnacentral:rRNA from 1 species